CGGGUUGUAGCGCAGUUUGGUAGCGCGCGUCGUUCGGGACGACGAGGGCGCAGGUUCAAAUCCUGUCAACCCGA
rnacentral:tRNA from 1 species